rnacentral:lncRNA from 1 species
CCCCACGAGCUCAGAACCUCUCCUCCGCCAAGUUGCUCCAUCCCCACCUCAUCACCAAGAACACCGGCGUCGUCGUCGUCCUGGGCACCGGGCAGAUCCCGGCGAAGACCAGGCUCAACCUGUGCCGGAAGCUCUUGUCGGCCGUGGCGGAGCAGUGCUCCAUGCCAUCUCGCUUCUCCACCGCUAUCCCCGCGUCGUCCUGCCUCUCCACCAGUGCCCCCACACAACCCUGCUCCCCGCCGUCGCCACGUACUCCCUGCUGCUGCCGCCGGCGAUUUCCCACGGUGAGGCAACCUCUCUCUGUCUCUCUGUCUCUCUCUCUCACCUGACAACCGAAUUCAUCUCCCAGAUCGGAACAAAUCAGCACCGGUGGUUUCUUUCUUCUUCAGAAGGCCAGACUUUUGCCGUUCAUAUUCAAGAGACCAUAUCCAUUUGACGUGCGAUGACACUCUGGUGAGUUUCUCUGCCUCGAGUCCUGACGGCCUCUCUCUCUCUCUCUUUGAAAAAUCCUUCAACAUUAUGUUUCUUCGUCUGCGAUUUAGUGCGCUGUAUGUGGUUGUUCUUUGCUUAGAAAACAAUUUCGUCAGAUCUGUUGGUAUAUGCUGACUCGAAGUAAUUUCAGUCUUAGAUGAAUUUUGUUCUUAAGAUGUGGUGUGUCUAGUUUUUUUCUUUAAGUAUACGAUCGCUGUUGUGAUUUAGUAGCUUGGAGGCUGGCACUUCAAUUCAAAACUGGCGUGAAUACCUAAAAUGAUAAAAAAGAGUAGGAAAUGGUGGCUAGCAAACAUAUAUAUUUUUAUAAAAUUUGUGAGCUGAAUAUCCAGGCAAUCACUUCGGUGAGUUUCUCCACCCCAUCUACAGGCCCUCCUUGUUUGUGGAUAUCAUGAAGGUAUACAACGUCUUUUCACACUUUGGAUUUUUUUUCUCAAACACCGAUCGUGGAUGUUGAUUGCUGAAGUAGAUUACUUUAACAGUAUUGCAAGUUGUUUUUACCUACAUGUGACAUCUGAACUAGCAGUUUUGUCUAGUACAAUCUCUCUUUUAAAGCUUUGAAUGAUGCUUCGAAUCCUGAAAGGUGGGUUAUUAUGCUUUGUUUGGCUAUUAAGCCAUACCUACAGGACCAAAUAUAUACACAUGGUAUAGUUAUCCCUGCAGGAUCAUGCUUGUGUGGCAAUAAUACAUUCUAAGGCAAACAAAAACAUGAGAUUAUAUUGAUAUUAUAUUAUAUAUGUACAUCUAUUGUCGCUGUACUGGUAUUCCUAUAUCUUUCCAUCUGUACAAAAAACAAAAGCACCAAAUAUAUGCUUACCUCCGCUAUGUCAGGGGCACUUAGACAAGAAAGGAUAUGGUUUCAGAUAUGAGUUAGAAAAAAUUUCAAGCCAUCAUCAAGCAAUGGAGGAAGCUAUAGAUCCUGGAGCAUCGAACAUAUAAAUCACGCUAGGCAACCCGCCAUUUUGGAGGCAUUGUCAUGACGCAGCAGUAUGGGUCGCUCGAUUCUUUUAUGACUGUACUUUUUUGGUUGCUGGCAGUCGGUACACCGUUAAUUGUUUCUCCACCUGAGUUGUACACUACCUUUUUAUUUUUAUUUAGAUUCUUUCGGAUUUCCAGUUUAUUAGCUGCAAAAGGGGUCCAGUAAUCUACAUUCUACAUAAAGCUUAGGCUUUAAUUGAUUGUUAUGUCAAGUGAGAUCAUGCAUGAUAAGGAUUAUUGCUGUUGGAGGAAACAUUGUGUACAAUAUGUUUGGUGGUAGUUAAAAGGAGGGGAACAUAUUAUUGUGAUUUUAUAGUUUCUUGGAAGUAGUUUCAUCUAUUUGUUUACAACAUUGUUGGUUUGCUGCCUUUUAGUAUUGGAGUGUGUAAUCACACACGUUCUUAUACCUUCUAGGUUAUUUCUCGUUUUAACUCCUCUCCUGUGGAUUCUCCUAAGUUGCAGGCGAAGAUGAACUCCUGAUGGUCUACGCCGUCCUGCUUUGCCAUGGAGGUAAAUGAGCCGAAGUGUACCAGGGAAUAUGCAUAUACACCACACCUAAUCCACCACUAUUUUCUUGUGGCGACUGGCGAGGAGAAGAUACAAAUGCCUUCCAAUCCACCACUUAUCCCCACUACUAUUUCUUUGCCAGUGACCUGGGUUUCCAUGUACUUGAUAGAUACUUUCCUUAUGAUAUGUGUUUUAUGUAUGUAUAUAUGUUUCUGGCCAUAAAUAUAUAGCUAGCACCAACUUUUACUGCUUUCCGUGGAACUUUGACGAGUACCCUUUAAUCCACUAAUUUUGGACCUGUUAGUUUGGGCACUGAAAACUUUGAAAAGUACCUUUGAAUUAGAGGACUAAACUAACAGGUCCGAAAUCCUGAAGCCCAAAUGAAUCAGUUUUCAGUCUAAAUGAAUGGUGUUAUAGGAGAAGCUAAUCUGAAUGUAUGCACGGGAUUACUUCACUUGACGUACAUUAUCUGGAUCCUUGGCCACUUUUAUGCAAAAGCCUUCGAUCUCUUACUCCACUAUAGAGUUUGAUUGAGAAGUUUGGGCCUUUGGUCUUCUCUGUUACCUGAAACUUUAAAUCUGACUACAAAGCCUCAAAAGUCAAAACUCAAUUCAUGUAAAAAUCGGCAAGAGUUUAGGGGAUUUGGCUCCACAUUUUUUGAUCUUGUUAGUACUUUCACCUUGCUAAUUCAAAAUGUGUGAAUGUAGAGUUGGAGAAACUACCACAAGUCAAGGUGAGACCCAUGCCUGAAAAGGGGAAAUCACUCUGGAGUCGGCUCAAGAACAAGGCUAGACCCCAAUCUUGUUUACUCACUGUAUUCACUAUCUAUAAAGUUGUAUGCUUAUUUUCUUGGCAAAUAAGUGUUGGAAUAUUGGCUUCUCAUACCUAUGUACAGUAACUUAAGUAUAUCCCCAGGAGACUAUAUGAUCAGCAAUCAUACAAAGUAAUCAAAAUGAUGUGUUUUCUUUCAAAUAGAUAGACAAAAGGUGGACCGAGGGCUUCUGGCUAUUGCUGGAAGUUGAUUGGAGGUCUUCACGUGCAGAAAUGCUAGUUUUGUAGAUUAGGCAAGUGUAUUCUUCAUUUUCUGCUGCUGUGUGCACAGAGCACAUGUGAAUUCCGCCUGCAUUCAAUUUCAUAAAUUAAUUGAGCAUUCUAAUAAUUGAGACUUGUUUAACUUUUGUAGGAAGCAAACAUAAGGACUCGACUCACAAUGAACCAUGAAGCCAGCGAUCUGCAUCAAAUGAAUGUUUUAGUUUUCAUCUUGCAACUGAUGUCUCAUAGUUGCAGUCUUUUCGCUGUCCUUUGUUGAACCUGAUGUAUGGUGUCUUGGUGGUUAUGUUUGGAACAUACUGAAGUAUAUGUAUGUGACCAUUAGUUAAUGGAAUAAAAAAUGUUUGGUGCACCUGAUGUAUGAUGUCUUGGUGAUUAUGCUUAGAACACAUAAAGUAUAUGUAUGUGACAAUUAGUACCAUUUGUUUAAUUAAAGCUGUGAUUGGAUAAACAAAAUGUUAAUGAACUGUUG